AAUUGCAGAUAAUUGAUGGCUGACUCUAGCAGUAGUACGGCUUCGACGAGCCAAACCCAAUGAAUAUAGUUGCUCACGAAUGUUUGAUCUUGAACAGAACUUACUUCAAUCAACAUGUCUCAAUCAAAAUUGUACAGCCAGAAGUACAGAAAAGAGUGGGUGUUGCUUGUCCGCGUUUCUGACUUGGAAUUCUGAGUUGAAUGACCAUUCAAAACGAUUUCCCCAGUCUGAGUUUAUUUUUUUAAAAUUGAACGCAGUGAAGUCGGAAGUCAGAUAUUUCCAAGUUGUCUUGAACGCGGCAGUAUCCUAGUCCCCAGUGGGAAGAUUUUUAUAACCAUAAUGCAACACACUUUGAAGACUUGACAAAAGUGAUCCGCUCGAACGCGCCCAAUGAUUUAGGCUAGAUAAAUUAAUGAAGAAUUGAUAUAUAUAUUUUUUACCCCUUGCACGGUCAACAGGUUUGUCAAUAUUGUGAGAAAGUAUUUCUGUCACUGUGUGAGCAGCGUUGACUCUCUCUUACUGAACCUUGUGCGCUACGUAGUUUGAUAUAGCCUGCCUAUGGUCGUAUAAAAUAAUGAAAAUAAAGUGUUGGAGCGCCACCUGGAGAAAUACUGCUUCGUCUUGAUUUUGGGUUGUCACUCGUUACCACAGCCACGAAAUCAAGUGUAUAUCGUAAAAAUUAAUUACAAAUAAUGAUUUCAGGUCUUAAUUUAAGGUUAGGCAUAAGGUUAGGGUUUGGUUUAAAGUCUUAUUUUAAGAUAAAAUGUAGAAGUUGGCGGGGGUUAGCCAAUUACGCCUUUGUAGUUGUGGUAACUAGUGACGACUAUCAACAUGUGUGGAAAUAACACGGCGAGCCGGGAGCUCACCUACGAUGGUUGUAAUCUUUUCAGACAAACAGUGUUAACGUUAAAUUGCAAAAGCAAAACUUACGAUCUAAAGAGGAUAACCCAGAACUCCGAGCCAGCUUCAUCAGGCUUCUGGACAAGGUAACCUAAGGGACCAACAUUGAAAUCAAGUCAUGAGGAUGAAUGCAGUGUUCCCAACUCCUCAGUAAGGAAAGUAGCUAUUGGCUGUCCUAAAUGACGCCAUCGCCGAAUUUGCAUAAUUGGCCAUGUGCAUGUAAUUAUUGGACGCUGUGGUAUGGAUGCAGUAGGAAUAACGACGUGGAGAGACAAAAGAGCCGUUUUGAGACUGAAAAUCCCGAUACGGAUUGACCAACUAUGGUUUGCAUGCUCUUCCGAAGGACCCUAUCAUGCGGAAUAGGUGGUUGGAGUUCGUUGGUCCCCAGUGCAGUGGUGGCCCUCCCAGCCAACACCACCUCAUCAGAUUGCCUGUUGCAGUUGUUGGAGAGAUGUACAGAUGGCAGCAGAACAUGCAGCAUAGUGAAGACUUGACUUCACUGUGAGCAUAACUAUGAAUGGAUCAGUCAGCCACAUGUUGGCAAGUAUCCGGUUAGACAAACCUGUCAUCGACAACAGCUUUCACAGGCUCAUCAUUUUGUACAAAUACAGAAGGUAACCCACUUCAUUACUUUGAUACAUUUAUAAUAAUAAUAUAAUAUAUGCCAUUUAGCAGACGCUUUUAUCCAAAGCGACUUACAGUCAUGUGUGCAUACAUUCUACUUAUGGGUGGUCCCGGGAAUCGAACCCACUACCCUGGCGUUACAAGCGCCAUGCUCUACGAAACCCCAGUAGUGAAACAUAAUGUUUAUAAACUGGCAUUAUUUGAUACUUGUAGUGAAACAUAAUGUAUAUAAACUGGCAUUAUUUGUUACUUGUAGUGAAACAUAAUGUAUAUAAACUGGCAUUAUUUGUUACUUGUAGUGAAACAUAAUGUAUAUAAACUGGCAUUAUUUGUUACUUGUAGUGAAACAUAAUGUUUUUAAACUGGCAUUAUUUGAUACUUGUAGUGAAACAUAAUGUAUAUAAACUGGCAUUAUUUGUUACUUGUAGUGAAACAUAAUGUAUAUAAACUGGCAUUAUUUGAUACUUGUAGUGAAACAUAAUUUAUAUAAACUGGCAUUAUUUGUUACUUGUAGUGAAACAUAAUGUAUAUAAACUGGCAUUAUUUGUUACUUGUAGUGAAACAUAAUGUUUUUAAACUGGCAUUAUUUGUUACUUGUAGUGAAACAUAAUGUUUUUAAACUGGCAUUAUUUGAUACUUGUAGUGAAACAUAAUGUUUUUAAACUGGCAUUAUUUGUUACUUGUAGUGAAACAUAAUGUUUUUAAACUGGCAUUAUUUGUUACUUGUAGUGAAACAUAAUGUUUUUAAACUGGCAUUAUUUGUUACUUGUAAUGAAACAUAAUGUUUAUAAACUGGCAUUAUUUGAUACUUGUAGUGAAACAUAAUGUAUAUAAACUGGCAUUAUUUGAUACUUGUUUUCUACUUCUUAGAUGUGUAUAAUGUGCCUUCAGAAUGUAUUCAUACCCCUUGACUUAAUCCACACACUGUAUAUAGACUUUCUAUUGUGUUAUUGACUCUACGUUUGUUUAUUCCAUGUGUAACUCGGUGUUGUUU